GGACCUGUUUAUAUACUGCAACCAGAGACUCUCUCUCUCUAGCCAGCAACGAUCGUCAAUGUUUUGCCAUCGUUUCAUCCAGGCUGAGGCAAUGGUUGCUGCUUGGAUAAGUAUGGCAGCAGAAAUUUUACAAGUAUGUUCCUUCAAUGGGCUCUAUAUUUUUCCAUAUUAUUUUUAAUGAAAAAUUAGGGGUACUGGUUCAGUAAUACUAUUCUUUACUUUGCUUCCAUGGUGACAAGGUUCUUGAAGGCAAAUUUUAUUUCUGCCAAGAACUUCAUCAAGUUGGGGAAAUUGUUUGCUUUGGGGCACACUUCAUGCUCAAACCCUAUCAAUGCCAACUUAUGGCUCUAUUGGGUGGGUUGCAGGCCCUCAAGUUGGAGGUAUGCUCAGUGUUAGUAGGGACCUAUCACACCUAAGGUUUAUUUGCAAUGAAUCAGAACAGUUUGAAUGCCGCUGCACAAGUGUGACAGUUAAGUAUUUUCCAACUAUAAUGUUCAAAGGAAUGGAGGGUAGUAGGUUGGAUGUGUGAGGCCCUCGUGGUGAGGGAAUAACAUUUUUCUCUAAAGAUGGAGUUCUGGAUCGUAUGUUUGAAUCAAACUUGGCACCACUAAGAUAUUGUGACUAUAAUGAGAGAGCAACCGAAAUUUACCCUUUCAAUUGCAAUGACUCUCCCUUGGGGGUGGCAGAAAUUUUUCUCCAGAUGGCAGACAUCUUACCAUGAUGCCAACCAGAGCGUUGCUUCUUGAUGUGGCAAUUCCCUUGGCAACCGAAGCACUGGAAUAUCAAAUAUGGACAAGAAAGGCCCUAUUCCAUGGUUGCAGAUGUUUUUAAAUGCCAGAGUGGUGCACUUUAAAAAGAAGUCCGAUAGCUUGAGAGGCAUGGUUCUUCUAUUACUGGGGAGGCUCAGAAGGCUGUUGAAGAUCAUCCUCCCCAGUUCGAUCCACUUUAUGCACAGUCACAUCUUCUGUAAGAACCAUGAAUUAUUAGGUCUUUGCUCAGCAUCUUUACAUAAAAUCAUUGCUAUUAGUAAUCAUUGUGCCAGAAAUUGAAUGGAUAAGAUUAUGUAGUGCUUGUUGCACAUGUUUUGUAAGUAAUCAUAUGACAUGCCAGUAAAUUUUGAACUGUAAAACCUUAUAGGCUGUGUUUUAUAUGCAAGUUUCGUAGAUUAGGGAUUGGAUGUAGAGUGCAUGACUCAUAACUGCGCUUUGUCUGUACGUGUUCAUUCUCUAUGAUUAUGCAUAUUUUAACUAGAAAAAAUUUAAUUAGGGUUGGGCUGUUUGCCACUUUAUAUUGAGUCAGUGGUGAUGACCAUGGACCCCCUCCUUGUCUUCCCUUGCAUUCAUUUUCGUCUCGAUACCAAGAGAGAGUGUGACAGUAGCUAUCAGGCACAGUUGAAAGUUGUUUAAACUAUUGGUUAUUGAUGCUUCAAAGCUCCAGAAAUAAAGAAAGAGAGAGAAAGAUGGGGGACAAAAUGCCAUUUUCGCAUUACUUUCCGUCUAUUUGAAUGCGUAAAGUUGUAAAGUUUUUGAUUGUGAUUUAAAUAUAUGCAUGAGAAUGGAAGAAUGUGUUAUGGGGAUGGUGGAGAGGAGACUAUACACUUUCGAGUUAAACGAUGAAAGUGUCUUUCUCUAUCAUGCAUUAAUGAUGCCUUCUCCACAUAUGCUAUGGUAGGCUGUCUCGGUAGCUCACGCACGUGUCCUGCUCUUAUUGUAGUUUGUGUUGAUCCUAGGAGAGUGUAGCAUGGUUCGUUGUAUCAGCCAUGACCAUUUUUCAAGGGUUCGAUAUCGUUAUACACUUUCAUAACCCGGCCGGUUCGGUCAGUUUAUAUCAAUAUUCCUUUGAGUCCGUUAUACCGUGAUCGUGAUAGAUACCGCGACUACAACCAUGAUUUGUAGAUGAACCUUAUGCAAUUGUUUUUUUCCAGGAUAACUAUGUUCACACAGGUGAAAUAGUCAAGGUAGCAGAUUAUUGUUGGUAUUUGGUAUGCCUAACUUUGAAUUUUACUGCCUCUUGAAAUGAGGAUGGUUGAUUUUUGUGUAAAACAUAUGACGACCCCCCAACCCACUUCCAUUUGUCCUUUAUUGUGGUGGAACCUGACAUUAACCCUCCUGAAGUGCUAAUCCCCAACACAAAUCCCUUCAUCUACAAUUGAUCCAUCAUCUUUGCUUUAAUUUCAUAUAGAUGGGUCGGUCGUAUCCCAUACAGAUAGAUUGGUUACAUAAUUUUUG